GGGUUUACUCAUUGGUCAGGCUUAAUUGUCUGUACUGGUGAGAUGGAUCUCUACCUUCUGAGGAACUUUCAUGCCAUUUAUUUGGUGUGAUGGGAAAUCAGGACUGUUACUUUGAAAAAAUUAGAGUGUUCAAAGCAGGCCUUUGCUCGAAUACAUUAGCAUGGAAUAAUAGAAUGGGACAUCGGUUCUAUUUUGUUGGUUUCUAGGACCGCUGUA
rnacentral:rRNA from 1 species